rnacentral:misc_RNA from 1 species
AAGUCGUAACAAGGUUUCCGUAGGUGAACCUGCGGAAGGAUCAUUAUCCAUACCAAAACCAGGUGCGGUCGCGGCCUCCGGGCAACCGGGUGGUUUCGCGCCGCAUUCCUGCACCCUUUUUUUACGAGCACCUUUGUUCUCCUUCGGCGGGGCAACCUGCCGCUGGAACUUAUAAAACCUUUUUUUGCAUCUAGCAUUACCUGUUCUGAUACAAACAAUCGUUACAACUUUCAACAAUGGAUCUCUUGGCUCUG